CCUANGGGAGGCUGUAGUCGGGAAUUUUGCGCAAUGGACGAAAGUCUGACGCAGCAACGCCGCGUGAGGGAUGAAGGCCUUCGGGUUGUAAACCUCUUUUCUCAGGGACGAUAAUGACGGUACCUGAGGAAUAAGUCACGACUAACUACGUGCCAGCAGCCGCGGUAAUACGUAGGUGGCUAGCGUUGUCCGGAUUUACUGGGCGUAAAGAGCGCGCAGGCGGUCGUUCAAGUCGAGUGUGAAAGCCCCCGGCUCAACUGGGGNGGGUCACUCGAUACUGAUCGACUCGAAGGCAGAAGAGGGAAGCGGAAUUCCCGGUGUAGUGGUGAAAUGCGUAGAUAUCGGGAGGAACACCAGUGGCGAAGGCGGCUUUCUGGUCUGCUCUUGACGCUGAGGCGCGAAAGCUAGGGUAGCAAACGGGAUUAGAUACCCCGNUAGUC
rnacentral:rRNA from 1 species